rnacentral:misc_RNA from 1 species
UUUUGAAUUGAAUAUAAAUUCUUUUCAAGCAAAGAAAAAAAAAAAAAAAAAAAAAAAAAAAAAAAAAAAAAAAAAAAAAAAAAAAAAAAAAAAAACCGUCGGCGUCGGGCCACGUCCUAGUUUUACUAGGCAGUCACAGGACUGUCGAUCUGUAGUAUAAUAAGUAGAAAAAUCGCCUGUAGUAUUAUAAUGCAUGCAUGAUAAACAAAGGCACGGGCAUUUUGAGCCCGUGGAUCAAAAAUUUAUAAA